GGGGAGUGAAGCUGCUGAUGGGGACGGCCCUACUCGCUGAUGCCUGAUGGAGAUGGAGGUCGCCGAUGGGGAGGACGGUGUCAAUCUGCUCGCCGCUGCACAGGAUCAGGCACGGAGCUGAUCUGCUCGCCCCUUGUCUCCUCGCGCACAUCUAGAGACCCAGAUACGCUCUGACUUGGUCACUUGGAGAAGACUCGAUCUACAGGCCGGGUGGAUUGGAGGGCUGAACGGAGGAGCAGAAGGGGGCGAUGGAGGGGGCGGCACUAGGAAACCCUAGGCCCCAUCGCCAUGUCUUCGGGAGAGGUGAGCCGAGAGGAGCAGGGCGUCGGAGAUGAUGAGGGGGGUCGGAGGGGAAGUGGAAUCCGCUUUCCUUUUUUUCCUCGUGAAUUUGGUGCGGAUCAAGUUUCCUACUUGUGGAAAGUGCUGGAAUCAAGUUUUCCGAUUCUUGCGGCAGCCAAACAGGCCGGCCCUGGAAACCGAUUCCAAUUCAGCACGUUUCUAAUGAUCCAAACGGGCCCUUAAGGAUUUGUGAACUCCCCAAUUGAUCUAGACUUGGAGUGUCUGUUUGGUUCCAGGCCACUAGGGUGUAGAUGUUGUUUCUCGCUUAGAAAAUUUUUUGUUGUGCAAUCAGCUAAUCAUGAAUUUGUCACUGCAGCUGCAUGAAAAAACACACAAUAGGGUGCAUGCAAAAAAAAAAACCACUAGGGUGUAGCUAUCUGCUCCCUUGAUACAAGGACAUAGCUUAGUUGCUCCAAGCAAACUGAGCAAUAAACCUGGUGCAUGCAUAUUCUGUACAUUUAGAGUGUAUAUAUGUUUAGACUAUCGAUCCAUGGAUUCUAAUUCUAAUUAACAGUCAUGAUUUUGUCAGCACUGUCUUAAUGAAACUUGAAAUUGUACCUUUUCUUUCUUGAGCAGCUUGUGGGAACUCCAAUCACCAAUAUGCUGAAGAAUGACAUGAGCCAUGCUAUGGGCAACAGAAAGAGGAAAUGUUGUCUUUAUGACUGGUCAACCACGUGAAACCAAAAUAUAUGCCAAUGGAAUUCUGAAGCAUCUUUUGGAAUUUGUACAUCACUGAUGGUAGAUUGUAUUGCUUUCUGUUGCCUUUUCUCUUCUUAAAGGUCCAAAUAAUAUAGCCAGGGAUGACCAACUGUUUUCUACCUACGUAUUUCCCAUUUCAGAUUAAAUUACUACAGUAAAAGCAUAGUAGUAGUUUUAGUACUAUCUUGUGGCUGAAAAUUGUUGACUAGAUUUCAAAAUAUAUGCCUGUGUUACUGGAUAAUAGUUGUAAUAAGUUUACUUCCUGUUAUUUGCCCAACCAAUGUGUACUGUAUUAAUAUUUUCAUUAAAUGAUGGUUACUUGAUUAGGUAA